rnacentral:rRNA from 1 species
UACAGAGGGUGCGAGCGUUAAUCGGAAUUACUGGGCGUAAGGGCGCGUAGGCGGUUAUUAAGUUAGAUGUGAAAUCCCUGGCUUAACCUAGGAACUGCAUUUAAUACUGGAUGACUAGAGUGCUGUAGGGGAGACUGGAAUUCCUGGUGUAGCGGUGAAAUGCGCAGAUAUCAGGAGGAACACCGGUGGCGAAGGCGGGUCUCUGGGCCGAUACUGCGCUGAGGAGCGAAAGCGUGGGGAGCGAACGG